UGAAUACGAGACGCUAAGGCGUUGAAGUAGUGUAUGUCAUACUUCCAAGAAAAGCUUGCACUGUCAUAGAUAAAAAACGCCUGUACCAUAACCGACACAGGUGGGUAGGUAGAGUAUACUAAGGGGCGCGAGAUAACUCUCUCUAAGGAACUCGGCAAAAUAACUCCGUAACUUCGGGAGAAGGAGUGCCUUAUUUAUAAGGCUGCAAUAACAAGAUCCAAGCAACUGUUUAUCAAAAACACAGGUCUCCGCUAAGUCGUAAGACGAUGUAUGGGGGCUGACGCCUGCCCAGUGCCAGAAGGUUAAAGAAGUUGGUUAGCAAUAGCGAAGCUGAUAACUGAAGCCCUGGUGAACGGCGGCCGUAACUAUAACGGUCCUAAGGUAGCGAAAUUCCUUGUCGGGUAAGUUCCGACCCGCACGAAAGGCGUAAUGAUUUGGAUACUGUCUCGGAGAGGGGCUCGGUGAAAUAGACUUGUCUGUGAAGAUGCGGACUACCUGCACCAGGACAGAAAGACCCUAUGAAGCCUUACUGUAACUUGAAAUUGAAAUUGGACUUUAUUCGCGCAGUAUAGGUGGGAGGCGUUGAUUGUAAUCUUGCGGGAUUAUUGGAGCCAUCAGUGAGAUACCACCCUUGUAAUGUUAGAUUUCUAACUUUGAAUCAUUAUCUGGUCAAAGAACAGUUUCAGGCGGGCAGUUUGACUGGGGCGGUCGCCUCCUAAACGGUAACGGAGGCGUACAAAGGUUUCCUCUGAACGGUUAGAAAUCGUAUCUAGAGUGUAAAGGCAUAAGGAAGCUUGACUGUGAGACCUACAAGUCGAGCAGGGACGAAAGUCGGUCUUAGUGAUCUGACGGUACUGAGUGGAAAGGCCGUCACUCAACGGAUAAAAGUUACUCUAGGAUAACAGGCUGAUCUCCCCCAAGAGUUCACAUCGACGGGGAGGUUUGGCACCUCGAUGUCGGCUCAUCGCAUCCGGGGGCGGUAGUACGUCCCAAGGGUUGGGCUGUUCGCCCAUGAAAGCGGUACGCGAGCUGGGUUCAGAACGUCGUGAGACAGUUCGGUCCAUAUCCGGUGUAGGCGUUAGAAUAUUGAGAGGAGCCUUCUUUAGUACGAGAGGACCGAGAAGGACAUACCUCUGGUGUACCAGUUAUCGUGCCAACGGUAAACGCUGGGUAGCUAUGUAUGGAGUGGAUAACCGCUGAAAGCAUCUAAGUGGGAAGCCCACCUCAAGAUAAGUAUUCUCAGC
rnacentral:rRNA from 1 species